rnacentral:rRNA from 1 species
CACCUGCACUAUUUGACGUUACCUACAGAAGAAGCACCGGCUAACUCCGUGCCAGCAGCCGCGGUAAUACGGAGGGUGCGAGCGUUAAUCGGAAUUACUGGGCGUAAAAGCGCAUGCAGGCGGCCUGUUAAGUCAGAUGUGAAAAGCCCGGGCUUAAACCUCGGAAAUUGCAUUUGAAAAACUGGCAGGCUAGAGUCUUGUAGAGGGGGUAGAAUUUCAGGUGUAGCGGUGAAAAUGCGUAGAGAUCUGAAGGAAUACCAGUGGCGAAGGCGGCCCCCUGGACAAAGACUGACGCUCAGAUGCGAAAGCGUGGGGAGCAAACAGGAUUAGAUACCCUGGUAG